rnacentral:rRNA from 1 species
UACGGAAGGUCCGGGCGUUAUCCGGAUUUAUUGGGUUUAAAGGGAGCGCAGGCGGCAUCAUAAGCGUGUUGUGAAAUGUGGAGGCUCAACCUUCAGACUGCAGCGCGAACUGUGGUACUUGAGUGCGCUGAAAGUGGGCGGAAUUCGUGGUGUAGCGGUGAAAUGCUUAGAUAUCACGAAGAACUCCGAUUGCGAAGGCAGCUCACUGUAGCGUUACUGACGCUCAUGCUCGAAAGUGCGGGUAUCGAAC